CCUGGUCGGACAUCAGGAGGUUAGUGCAAUGGCAUAAGCUAGCUUGACUGCGAGCGUGACGGCGCGAGCAGGUGCGAAAGCAGGUCAUAGUGAUCCGGUGGUUCUGAAUGGAAGGGCCAUCGCUCAACGGAUAAAAGGUACUCCGGGGAUAACAGGCUGAUACCGCCCAAGAGUUCAUAUCGACGGCGGUGUUUGGCACCUCGAUGUCGGCUCAUCACAUCCUGGGGCUGAAGUAGGUCCCAAGGGUAUGGCUGUUCGCCAUUUAAAGUGGUACGCGAGCUGGGUUUAGAACGUCGUGAGACAGUUCGGUCCCUAUCUGCCGUGGGCGCUGGAGAAUUGAGGGGGGCUGCUCCUAGUACGAGAGGACCGGAGUGGACGCAUCACUGGUGUUCGGGUUGUCAUGCCAAUGGCACUGCCCGGUAGCUAAAUGCGGAAGAGAUAAGUG
rnacentral:rRNA from 1 species